rnacentral:rRNA from 1 species
AGCGAACGUUAGCGGCGCGCCUAACACAUGCAAGUCGCACGAGAAAGGGCUUCGGCCCCGGUAAAGUGGCGCACGGGUGCGUAACACGUAGGCAAUCUACCCUUAGGCGGGGGAUAACGUUUCGAAAGAGACGCUAAUACCGCAUGAGACCACGGUGACUUCGGUCGCUGAGGUCAAAGCUGGCCUCUUCUUGAAAGCUAGCACCUAAGGACGAGCCUGCGGCCCAUCAGCUAGUUGGCAGUGUAAAAGACUACCAAGGCUAAGACGGGUAGCUGGUCUGAGAGGAUGAUCAGCCACACUGGCACUGAAACACGGGCCAGACUCCUACGGGAGGCAGCAGUGGGGAAUAUUGGACAAUGGGCGAAAGCCUGAUCCAGCGACGCCGCGUGAGUGAUGAAGGCCUGG